rnacentral:rRNA from 1 species
UACGUAGGGGGCUAGCGUUGUCCGGAAUCAUUGGGCGUAAAGAGCGUGUAGGCGGUCCGGUAAGUCCGGUGUGAAAGUCACAGGCUCAACCUGUGAAUGCCGCUGGAAACUGGCAGGCUAGAGUGCGGGAGAGGAGAGUGGAAUUCCUGGUGUAGCGGUGAAAUGCGCAGAUAUCAGGAAGAACACCCGUGGCGAAGGCGGCUCUCUGGAACGCAACUGACGCUGAGACGCGAAAGCGUGGGGAGCAAACAGG